UAUCAGAAAGGCAAGUCCUCCAAAUAAUUUCAGAGUUACUAUUAGCAUGAAAUAAUAUAUCUACAUUCACUAAUUCUUUAGAGGAAUAGAGUAGAAAAUGUAAUGAUUGUAUUUCUUUCUUUUGUAGAUCUGAGGUGUGAGUGGGAGCCCGGGACAAGAGCGGGCGAUGGCGGGGGCAGGAUGAGUGUGAAGGAUUCAUAGUCAUUUGGACUUCUUUGUACAAUCACGGUUUGGUUAAUUGUUAACUCUCAUUCUCUCCCUUUCUUCCGUGGAAUGGUAGAAUUUAAGGCGUGGAUUUUCACGUUGGCUGUCAAUAGUACCAGUUUUCGAUCAAUCACUUAAAUUGUUAACCUUCUUGUCUUUUAUUUCGUUUUGUUGUCAUCAUUGUCCAUAUUCGAUUAUGAAAGCGUGGUUGACUUGAGAUUGAUUACAAUGAAUGUUCAAAGUAGUUAAUGGCUUGUUUCUUAUGAUUGUGAAAGGCCAUUUUACUGUAUAAACUCUUGCUAGAGUCUUAUACAAAGAUAAAUGGAUAUACAUGAAAAUCUGUUUACUCUCUUUUAAAGAAACCAGCCCAUUUACCCUGGGAAUAUGUUAACACACACACACACACACACACACACACACACACACACACACACACACACACACACACACACACACACACACACACACACACACACGACCCCCCCCCCCCCACCUUCUUUAACAACGCUGCCAUUUCGUAAUAGUCACUUAUUCAUCAUAUCAAUUAAUUUUAGUGUUAUGGAAUCCAACUACCAGAUUUAUAGAUGUUGUAUAUGAUCUUUUUGCGAUGACUGAUGUAUUUCGUAUGUUUCAUCAAUAAUCAUAGUAGUAUUUGGUUUUCUGCUGUAAUCAUAUAUAUUUAUGGGUUAAUGUCCAAUAACUCUCAUGAGUAUUACAUAUCACGUAUCGUUCUACUGAGUAUGUAUGACUAUAACCAAAUUUAAUUAGUUUUACUGUUAGUGUUUUUAAAGAUCUUAAACAUUUCCCUCGCAUUUAAUAUCUCCAUAGCAAUGAAACUUGUCACUUCCUAAAUAUCGGUUCCUCCGGCUCUGAGCUUCGUUAUUUUGAUUAUCAUUUCAAUAUUUAGUUUCUGUUAUUGACUCUAACUAUUUAUAGCAACUGAUCGUAGUGUUAUAAAGUUAUUUUGUAAUCAAGUCCGAUGUUUUUUAGUUUCGCUUAUUCUAGCUGUUAACUUUUAUCUUUAUUCUUUACGAUUUACUCUCUUGUUUAAUCGCAAAUGAUCUUAGUUUUAUAGUGUUCAUUUGCAUUCAACUCAAAUGCGUUUCAGUGGUGGUUAUUUGAGUUUUUGUUCUUUUUAGAAAUUUAUAUACUUUUCCUCGCAAUUAUUACCACUAAUAGCGAUUUUGUUAUAUUGCCGAUUAUAAUUUUCUACCUUAUUUUUUUAAGUAUUUUUAUCACCAGUGUUAUCAGUGCCAUUAUUGUUGAUAACCUAUUCAUUGGUAAUGUUAUAACCAUAAUCAUUAUCAUUAUUACUGUUACUGCCAUCAUCAUUGUUAUCUUGAUGAUCAUUAGCAUAAUUCUUUCCAUUCUUUUUGCCGUAACGAUCAAUAUCAUUGUUACGGAAGACGGCUUGUAUCGCGCCUACAGAAAGGAGCGCCGUUUACCGUUAUCAUUAUAUUUGUCGUUAGUCUUUAAAAACGCCAAAUUUCAUUCAUUAUAAAACACAACAACACUUCCCUAUUUGUGAAUUUUCUAUGUUGUUUGAAAUCGUCACUGUUAUAUUGAACAUAUUAAUUUAUUCAUUUAUUUUUUAACAAUAGUUUCCGUAAAUAUUACAAAGCUUUUUAAAUACUGCUGGACGUAUAUUUAGAAAGAUAUAUGCGGAAUUUAAAUAUUAAUAUUCUUUUUGCUACUGAUAUAAACACAUUUCGUUGCAAGUUCUGUUAUGAAAAAUCUAUAUGUUAUGACUUUGUAACAACUAUUUUGUUGCUAAGAAAUUUUGAAUCACAUUCUUCACUUAUGAGUCUAUUCAUUUAACCAUUAAGUUUGUUUGCUUAAGUUUCACCAUUUUCGUAACAAGUAAUCUCUUUGUUAUGGAAGUCGACAUGAAUCGCGCCUACGGAAAAGAGCGCCGUUAAUCGUAAUUACUAUAUUUUUAUUAAUGAAUGUCACAUUUCAUUCAUCAUAAGAAAAAGAAAAUUUGAAAUAAAAAUAAAUGCUUUAUCCACUUAAAAUUCUUUAUUCUUAAUACUUCAAUUCUAAGUUUGUAUUUCUUAUGAUUAUUCUCAGUAUUGUUGUUUUUAUUCUCGUCGUGUUAAAGGGGCUUCCUUUAUUAUGGAACAACCCACACCUGGUCCUAAUUGUUUCGUUCUCUAUAACUGCUUUUAUGUUCAUCUAUUUGUUUUCUCAGUGUCGCCAUGUGAACCAUUUAAACAAAAAUCCUAAUUAGUAAUAUUUGUAUUUGUAUUAUAAUGAUAAUCAGCAUUUCGUAUUUUUCAACAUUUUCGUCACAAUUAAAGUCUUUGUUAUAUAACACGACUUCUGACGCGCCUACAGAAAAUCAUUAUCAUUGAUUUUAUUUUUGUCACAAACCAUUCGUUAUCGAUUAAGUGAAUAAAUAGAUUCUUUUCCAUUUAAAACCAUGACGGAAUACUGAAUUUGUAUAUCUUGUCUUUCUCAAUAUUAUUGUUACUUUCUGUUCUUAUUAACAAUAUGAAAAUCUAUAUAUUUGGUUUUUGUAACAAUAUUUUUGUUAAGAAUAUAUUAGAAUAUGUAUGUUAUGUCUUUGCAACAAUUAUUUUGUUGCUAAGAGAUUUUGAAUCCCAUCGACCUCUUCACUUAUGGGUUUCAAUAAGCAUUGAGUUUUUUUUUAUUUAACUUUUCCUUUUUCGUAGCAAUUAAUAUCCUUGUUAUGGAACACGACUUGUAUCGCGCCCACAGAAAGGAGCGCCGUUAAUCGUAAUCAUUAAUCUUUUUAUUGAUGAAUAUCAAACUUUAUUCAUUAUUAAUUAAAAAAUAUAUAUAUAUAUUUUAGGAGCAAUUUCCCAUUUAUAAAGUCAUGUCAGGCUUUACUCGUAUUCUGAUUCUUUUCGUUGUCCUUAACGGGCCUCGUUUUAACCCCUUCAAGUGAUUUCCAUUUACCUAUAAACACAUGUGCAAAUUAUAUAUCUAAGUCCUCGUAGCUCCUUUAACUCCGUUUAAUGGCGUUAGCACAAUGUUUCAUUAAUUUUAUUUUCGGUGUGACCAAUUCUCUCCUGGUUGUACUCUUCGCAAUGUUUAAUCAUAGGACAUUCGUUACCAUUACAUCAUCAGUUCUGAGGAUAAUUCACCCUGCGCUUUUCAAUUCUCGUUUCCCUUCGUCGUAAGAACUGAAUUUCUUAUGAAUCCCGACCUACUUCUCCCUUUUUUAGGAGCGUCGUUAUUCCUGUUUUUUUUUUUUUUGUUUUUUUUUCUAUUGGUCGGUCCCGUUUAUUGAAUUCCUACGCCCCAUCAUUAUCUCUUGUCAGUGUCUUUUAGAAAUGAUUAAUGCGUCUGUAUUCAUAGGCGACAAAAUUUCUUUCCAUCAUCCUCAUGACAAUUAUAUUCAUUGUGAAAUCCAAAUAUCCUUGAAAUAUUAUAGAAUAUAUAUAUUUUGUUCUGUUAAAUGUAUCAGAAUUACUGUAAGUUGAUUCAACUAUCUUAUAAAUUAGGCUGCCAUCAUAACAAUGAACUUCAUUGUUAUGAAAAAAGACUAUGAUGAGACAACAGUUUCGAAAUCCAGAUGGGUUAUGUUUGUAAUGCGUUUCCUGCAGUCGAAAAAAAUACCAUCAUCACCACCUUCAUCAUCACCAUCACCAUCACCAUCAUCACCAUCAUCAUCAUCACCAUCACCACCAUCAUCGUCAUCGUCAUCAACAUCAUCAUCAUCAACAACAACUUAUUUGUGUAUAAUUAAAGCACCAAACGUUUCACACUGUUCUAAGAUUAUCAUUUCCAUAAUAACGUUUAGAUAUAAGUUCAUCAAACCUCUGUGUAUAAUUGAUAUGAAAUGUUUUCCAACACUUAAAAAAUUGGUAUGAUGUAUGAUUUAUGUAAGAAAAUGUAAAACGUAUAUAUUUUAGGAUUUUUGUUUCUCACUAUAUAUGGAAUAAUGUGAUAUAUUAUCACAUAUCACGAUUUUGCUUCUUAUUAAAUCUUAUUCUGUAAAAACGAAACAGCUCAUUAUAGCCAUCAACAAUAGGAAGGAAUAACUGAAUACAAAUUGUCAUAUUAAAAUUAAGUUGUCGUCUUUAUAAUCUAGUGAUUGGUCACAAUUACUGUUAUAUUUCUUCAUGUAAGAAAUAAUCUUAUUUUUCUUAUUUCAAAGUAUAUUUCAUACAUUUUUAUAGCUCGAUUUUACAACUGAAUGUUAAAACAUAUUCAUAGUUUAGAUCUUAUUCAUCACUUGCGAUCUUGAUAUAAAAACGUUUAUGUUUAAUGUACAUCAUUUAUCAUUGUUAUUAAUAUAACCCUGUUGAUGUAACAUAUUUUUAAACACCUCUGUAUGGUUAAAAAAAUGCAAUCACGCACUAUUGUAUUUAUUAAGAUUUUUUAACGAUUUUUGUAUCAUGAAUAGAGGACACACGUGUCACUCGCUUCCAUGUGCUUUCUUUAAUAUUAUAUAAUUUAAAUCUCAAUAUAAAGUUUGGAAAUGUAGAUGCCAUGCCUCAAGUGUGACCUCAGUGUUUAAAUGUGACUGUUUCAAAGAUGAAUGCCAAACUUAAGUGUAACUUCAGUCUCUAAGUAAGACUUCAGUCUACAAGGGUGAUAUCAGAGGGCACAGAGUGAGACUUCAGUCUACAGGCCUUCAGGAGAGACUUCAGUUGCAUGUAGUAGAAUUCCAGAAGCCAUCUAGCAAUACCACACUCCAAGCAUGAGGCACAAACUCAAAGGGCGUCCACCAGCAGGAGAGAACACUGGGCUUUGGACAUCACGUGGGCUCGUGAGGGUCAUUAAGCUGAGACGGACAUUCAGCCUGAGGCAUCCGUCAGUGCGCCAUUUCAAGCCUAGGACAUCCAUAUGGGAGUCAGUUUCUGCCUGAGACAUCCAUUCGGACACCUGAUCAGUCUGAGAUCUGAAACGUCCUGCCUCAUUUCAGGCUGAGUCCUGCUCGGAAACUCACUUCAUAGUCUUUCACAAGUCUAGACACUUCAGUCACGGUGGUUUCUUGCCCAGCACUCCAAGGUCACCCUCAAAGAAGCAGGUCACCCCAGAGCAAAACGUGGAGACUUCAGUGUCACAUUGGGUUUCAGUCUGAGAUGUCACAUGAGAGCCUGAGAUGUUACACUCAAGAAGUUGGAAUGGGUCGUAGCUACACUUGAACGUAUCAUGUCACAUUGAUUUCGUUUAAUUAGAGUGUUUUCAAUUAAUUCACUGUGUCCUUAAUAUUCAGCUGUAGGCCGAUACAAAAUUAUCUAUCCGUGUGUGUGUAUGUGUGUGUGUGUUUGUGUGUGUGUGUGUGUGUGUGUGUGUGUGUGUGUGUGUGUGUGUGUGUGUGUGUGUGUGUGGACAUAUGUUUAUUGUAUUAUCAUUUAGUUGUAUUAUUCAGUUGUUUCAAAAAGAUCUGCCAUUUAUUAUGCUAUCUCUCAAGUUUCUUUGCUAUUUUGUAUUCCAUUAUUUACUGAGUAAAGACCAUACGUUGAAAA
rnacentral:lncRNA from 1 species